rnacentral:rRNA from 1 species
UGGGGAAUAUUGGACAAUGGGGGCAACCCUGAUCCAGCAAUACCGCGUGUGUGAAGAAGGCCUGAGGGUUGUAAAGCACUUUCAAUUGUGAAGAAAAGUUAACGGUUAAUAACCGUUAGCCUUGACGUUAACUUUAGAAGAAGCACCGGCUAAUUCCGUGCCAGCAGCCGCGGUAAUACGGAGGGUGCAAGCGUUAAUCGGAAUUACUGGGCGUAAAGCGUGCGUAGGUGGUUUAUUAAGUCAGAUGUGAAAGCCCCGGGCUUAACCUGGGAACUGCAUUUGAAACUGGUAAACUAGAGUAUGGUAGAGGAAAGUGGAAUUUCUGGUGUAGCGGUGAAAUGCGUAGAUAUCAGAAGGAACAUCAAUGGCGAAGGCAGCUUUCUGGACCAAUACUGACACUGAGGUACGAAAGCGUGGGUAGCAAACAGGAUUAGAUACCCUGGUAGUCCACGCCGUAAACGAUGAUAACUAGCCGUUGGGGGGAUUUACCCUUCAGUGGCGAAGCUAACGCGUUAAGUUCCGCCUG